rnacentral:snRNA from 1 species
AUGUGGUGGGGAUUCCUGCCAUGUCACUGCUGCCUCACCGAUCAACAGGGUAGAUUCAGCUGACCUGGCUGGCUAUGGAGGAGUUCUGCACUUUGCUCACCCUCUGUAUGUCCUUUGUCUGAAGCCACCUGCUCUGUGGGUGAGGACCAUUUUUAGUCUGCAAAAUACUAACAGUUGUAUUCCCUGCUAAACUUCCAAACAAACUCUCAAGGAUAGAGGAACAUGUUUGAGAAUCUCAUGUCAGAGGCCAUAGGAAUCAUCACCAUGACUACCCCACAGGUUGAGAGCU